GGACUCGAUUGUGCACAAUUCGAUUGUGCAACAAACGACUCCUAGUAGCAAAAUUUCGAACUGCAUGAAAAUUUUUAUUCCUCGAACGUCGUCUGCUCGAAAUUGAACGUGAUGCCGUUACGUGAAAAAUCGCCGGUAUAGUCUAUCUAUUAUACGGCACUGAGUGAAACUGUAUCAAUUCUCUUUGCGAUGUACUUGAACGUUAGAAAAAGCUGUAGGCUACAUUACGCUAAAAUAUCUCUUGCCAGUUGCCACCUGUACUUGCUAUAGUGGUGUACAGCUUUUUCAUUUCUGCAGACAACACUUAAAGUAAAGAUUGUACUCAAUUCAUUAGUUAAAAAACAAUGGUUCCAAUAGCACCCUCCAGAUUUUCAGUUUCCAGCCACAUAAGUGGUGAACUAGCAACUUGCUGAGGGCUCCAUCCGCACAGUAUUCUCGUAAAAGCUCUGAGUUAAAUUUUUAAAUGAAUCAGGAACUCCGUUUUUCUCUAUUAUUAAUUGUACAAACCUUCUAAAAUCCCGCGACCAGCAAGCGUAGAUGACGGGGUUCAUGCCCGAGUUGAUCCAUCCGAGCCAAUUGACAAUCGUGCCGACUAAUUCUGGGUCGUCAAUACAAGACUGGCAAAAAGCGGACAGCAAUGUUGUGACGAAAAACGGUGACCAACAAACGACGAAGACCCCCAUCACGAUACCCAGGGUCCUAAAAGUUUGCGGAUCAGAUUGAGUUUAGCGAUUGGGAAGUAACGUCCGGAUUCACUGUCGCUAGCGACAACUGCUGAUGAAGUUACAGACAACGCAGUUUUUGGUGCGGAUAUCUCCGCCUCUGGUGAGGAAUGGCGGCGACCAAUCGUUCGUUUGAUGCUGGACGAUGGAUCGGGUAUUUGUAAAACAUCAUCGCGGUCAAAAUGGCCGCGACGGCAGCACAUCGACGAAUUUCCGACGCGGCUCUGCCUCCGCGAUGGAUGCGCAACAUUAAAGAAGUUACGACCCGCUUGGUGCCAAGCCGAAGGGAUCGUGACUGGGCCACAGCUGCCCGGUAGAUUCGGUAAUAAGUGAAGACCAUGACGGACAACGGGCCAUAGAAGGAGAUGGUCGAAGAAAAGACGAGGUAUCCGAUAUCGUCGGUAUAGACGCACUGCUCCGGCACUGGAUGCUUUCGUUGGUUGGUGCCGGAUGUCGACGAUGAGGCCAUCAAAUCGGAAUUAUUAUUAGCCGCUACAGCUCUCCACCAGGCGAUUGUUGGAAAACUUACGAGAAUUGAACAAACCCAAACGAGGGCGAUGAAACAAGCGGCUCGUUUGGGCGUCAUCCGACUCGGCGAUACCCAAUAACGAUCCACGGAGAUGACACAGAGAUUUAAGAUGGAUGCAGUACUGACCAGGACGUCGAACGAGUGCCACACGUCGCUAUCAAUAGAGAAUUCAAUCAGGAAAAAGUCAAUAUUUGAAUAAAUACUACGAUUGAAAUUAGACGGGUAAAUUUUAAAUUUUAUACCAGAGAUCGCGACCGAAUAACCAGCGCCGGUCUGAUUGCAUUUCGACGGCGGCGCUGAAUGGCAUGACGAUGGAUCCGACGAGACAAUCGGCCACGGCCAGUGACAUGAUGAAAUAAUUGGUGACGGUGUGCAGGUAACGUUCCCUGGUCACCGCGGCGAUGACCAAGGCGUUGCCCAGGACGGUGGCCAGACAAAAGGAGAACAACACCAACGCCAAAAUGGGAUUGCCGUCAUCCCAAUCUUCUUUACCUGCCAUCACCUCAGUAGUGUUGACGUAUCCGGUUCCUUAUGUUCAAGUUCCGAGAUCCCGACCCAUAUUUCGGUGUCACUAAUAUUCUAUUUUAAAAUGCAACAUUUUUGAUAUUUUUGGAAAAACCCGGUAGGGGAAACGCGUAGGUAAAUAAAAACGUUAAUUUUACUACAACAGAUUGAACACUCUCACAACAAUAUUUCCUUUUGAGGAAAACCUUACGGCGAAAGUGGAAUCUCAAAUUUUUAUAGCUGACUUUAUGUGGUAGGCCUGUAAUUCAUAUCAAGCGGUAAGAAAAGAGAAAUCUUAUCACCAGGUUUCACUUUUAUGUGUGUACGCUAAACUCCAUCAUCAGUUUUCCCUGUUCGCUUAUCUUCGCCAUUGGAUUACACUGAAUAUCUUAUACACCACCGCUUAUUACGGACCCUUAGUGAAAACUUUAAAAAGUGGCAAGUACUGCACCAACACCAUCAGUGUAAAGUUGGCGUGGAACUGAGAAACAACAUCCAAUCCAAUUGAUUCAGAGAUAACAAAAGUAUUUCAAUUUCAAAUUCUCUUCCUGUUUGAGUUAGGGUUUAAGUAAUGAGCCAUUCUAGCCAUGAAUAAAGCAGUAGCAAUUCUCCUCUUUAUGGUGGCGGUAGUUUUGUCUGGGGCCACAGAAACUCAACAGAGAUUUACCCAUGGGCCCUAUCACUAUGAAAUUCUGGAUAGGAAUGUUCCUCAGCAGCCGAUAGGUGAUGAAAUCGCAAGAGAAUGGAAUAACAAAUUAAUUGUGUACAAGUAUCGAUUGAUUCGAUUGGCCCGUUUGGGUAUCCGGCAGUACAAACUCAAGACGAAGGCUACUAAUACUCAUAACCCGGAAGUUUACAGACAAGUAGCACAGCAGCCCAAUCAGUAGUAUCAAGUGGUACUGCCGGAUUUGCCGGAAUCCUUUGUGAUCGCGCAGCAUUACAAGAACCUUCCGGAACCAAAUGGAACUAAUAAAGAAACUGGAUCUCCAUCAAGAGCUAAAUGAUUGUCUGGACUAAAAGUAUCAACCGGCCUGAAUGGAAAUCAACAUGGACUUUAAACUGAAACUGUUGGAACUCCCAAAACCCGUUAAAGGCUGAAGUCGGCUAUUUGACAGUAACAAAAUGCUAUUUUCACUCCAGUGUUUUCUAUUUCCCAUUAAGAAUCAGAAAAAAAUACUGUUCGACAUUAUUACGUUUGAAUAAAAAAUUUUAGAUUAA